rnacentral:tRNA from 1 species
GGGCAAGUGGCGGAAUUGGUAGACGCGCUAGGUUGAGGGCCUAGUCUCCGUUUAUUUGGAGGUGGAGGUUCAAGUCCUCUCUUGCCCACCA